CGUGAGAUGUUGGGUUAAAGUCCCGCAACGAGCGCAACCCCUAUUGUUAGUUGCCAUCAUUCAGUUGGGCACUCUAGCGAGACUGCGGUAAUAAACCGGAGGAAGGUGGGGAUGACGUCAAAUCAUCAUGCCCCUUAUGACCUGGGCUACACACGUGCUACAAUGGUUGGUACAACGAGUUGCGAGUCGGUGACGGCGAGCUAAUCUCUUAAAGCCAAUCUCAGUUCGGAUUGUAGGCUGCAACUCGCCUACA
rnacentral:rRNA from 1 species